CCCCCAUCUCCUUUUCUUUCUUCUUUUUUUGUUCGACACCACCAAAAACCCCACACACAAACACUAUAGUUUCUUUUUCUUAUUUGGAAUUGGCAAGGAAAGAUCAAAGGAAAAACACUUGUAAUAUUAAUAACAAUAAUCAUUUAGCAAGGAUAUUUAAGCAUCAUCAUCGUCAUCUUUAUCUUCUUGUUUUCUUUUCAAGAACACAUCAAAUUGGUUUUGGAUAGACGUGGAGACUAGAUUGCUCAUUCUCAAGUUUGCUCGCCCUUUUAGCUCUUUGAUCGCUAAGGCUAGGAUUAUAGAUCUUGUAGCAUAGGAGUCUUCAUCUUUAAGCUCAUUCCAUUGGCGAUUGUUCGAGCGUACAAGAUCAGAAGCUGUGAAGAACUUCCUUUGCUUGUUCAGUUCAGACUUGGUAUUUAAAGACAAUUUGUUCCGUCUUUUGUUCAUUGACUAAAUAGGGUACAUCCCAUGUUCUGUAAUGACUAUCGUACUUCUGUUCUCUUUUAAUGAUAUUGGCUGUGUUGGAACUUGUACUGUGUGCGAUUGUGCUUAUCUGUGCAUCCCGUAUAUUCCGCUUUAGCGGGGUGUACAUAUGCCGCGAGAUUUGGCUACUUAAAUCAUUUGUCUUAUGUCUUGCCAUGUUGACGGCUGCCUGAAAAUGUGUAUACAUGUCUUAUGAAAUAUUGAACUAAA